AACGCUGGCGGCAGGCCUAACACAUGCAAGUCGAACGGUAACAGGAAGAAGCUUGCUUCUUCGCUGACGAGUGGCGGACGGGUGAGUAAUGUCUGGGAAACUGCCUGAUGGAGGGGGAUAACUACUGGAAACGGUAGCUAAUACCGCAUAACGUCGCAAGACCAAAGAGGGGGACCUUCGGGCCUCUUGCCAUCGGAUGUGCCCAGAUGGGAUUAGCUAGUAGGUGGGGUAACGGCUCACCUAGGCGACGAUCCCUAGCUGGUCUGAGAGGAUGACCAGCCACACUGGAACUGAGACACGGUCCAGACUCCUACGGGAGGCAGCAGUGGGGAAUAUUGCACAAUGGGCGCAAGCCUGAUGCAGCCAUGCCGCGUGUAUGAAGAAGGCCUUCGGGUUGUAAAGUACUUUCAGCGGGGAGGAAGGGAGUAAAGUUAAUACCUUUGCUCAUUGACGUUACCCGCAGAAGAAGCACCGGCUAACUCCGUGCCAGCAGCCGCGGUAAUACGGAGGGUGCAAGCGUUAAUCGGAAUUACUGGGCGUAAAGCGCACGCAGGCGGUUUGUUAAGUCAGAUGUGAAAUCCCCGGGCUCAACCUGGGAACUGCAUCUGAUACUGGCAAGCUUGAGUCUCGUAGAGGGGGGUAGAAUUCCAGGUGUAGCGGUGAAAUGCGUAGAGAUCUGGAGGAAUACCGGUGGCGAAGGCGGCCCCCUGGACGAAGACUGACGCUCAGGUGCGAAAGCGUGCGGAGCAAACAGGAUUAGAUACCCUGGUAGUCCACGCCGUAAACGAUGUCGACUUGGAGGAUGUGCCCUUGAGGCGUGGCUUCCGGAGCUAACGCGUUAAGUCGACCGCCUGGGGAGUACGGCCGCAAGGUUAAAACUCAAAUGAAUUGACGGGGGCCCGCACAAGCGGUGGAGCAUGUGGUUUAAUUCGAUGCAACGCGAAGAACCUUACCUGGUCUUGACAUCCACGGAAGUUUUCAGAGAUGAGAAUGUGCCUUCGGGAACCGUGAGACAGGUGCUGCAUGGCUGUCGUCAGCUCGUGUUGUGAAAUGUUGGGUUAAGUCCCGCAACGAGCGCAACCCUUAUCCUUUGUUGCCAGCGGUCCGGCCGGGAACUCAAAGGAGACCGCCAGUGAUAAACUGGAGGAAGGUGGGGAUGACGUCAAGUCAUCAUGGCCCUUACGACCAGGGCUACACACGUGCUACAAUGGCGCAUACAAAGAGAAGCGACCUCGCGAGAGCAAGCGGACCUCAUAAAGUGCGUCGUAGUCCGGAUUGGAGUCUGCAACUCGACUCCAUGAAGUCGGAAUCGCUAGUAAUCGUGGAUCAGAAUGCCACGGUGAAUACGUUCCCGGGCCUUGUACACACCGCCCGUCACACCAUGGGAGUGGGUUGCAAAAGAAGUAGGUAGCUUAACCUUCGGGAGGGCGCUUACCACUUUGUGAUUCAUGACUG
rnacentral:rRNA from 1 species